GUUUAGUUAGUUCAAAAACAGUGAUCUUUCCCCGUCGUUGCUGAGGUAUAUAAUGUAGCAAUACAGUACUGAAGCUGCUUCAUUAAUAAAAUUCGGGGGACAGUGUUGACAGCAAGUUUGUGUGCUCCUGAAUGUUUCUAUGUGUGUGCACCGCAAUCUCUGAUCUCUGUUUGCGAGUGAUGUGUAUAUAUAUCAUGUUCGAGACAUGGUUACAGCCUUGAUAUUAUCAGUGUUAUAUUUCAUCUGCAACAACAUUUAUAAAGAUACGGUUGGUCAUUAACUUUAAAUGCAUCAUUAUGCAAACACAUGAGAAGUGUUCUAAGGAUGAAAGACACAACUGGCAGAUCAGUGUGCCCCUUAAUUUCUCUCCAAUGGAUAAUGUUAACUGUGACAAGAUGAUUGACAGGGCAGUUUAAAUGGUGACAGGAAGCUCGUAACUAAGCAACAAAGUAUAUGUUAAUGACAUAAUUAUGAUGACGUAAAGCUUGCAUUCUUUUCUGCUACCCACUCAAAAUGUACUUUUUCUUCACAAAAAAUAUUACAUAUUUUUGGGCAUAGUAUAAGUAGGCAAAUUGAGAUGCAGCAUAACGUAUUUUGAAAUUGGGAAAUACUAAUUCUAACUUCAAAUACUAUUAAGGAUGGAUAGUAUCCUAUGUGAAUUGGAAUGCAACUUUACGUUGUUGCUAGAAUACCAGCAGUCGAUUACCGCCACCUAACUGUUCACUAGUUUUUAUUUUUGGGUUUUAUGUCAAAAUAACGGAAAAGGAGCUUUAUAUUGUUGAUCAGAUAUUCAUUAAUUAGAUAUUUAUAGAUAGAUAUUUAAGAAAUCAAAAAGUGGAAAAAAUUUACAUUUGUGAAGAAACCGACUGCCAACAGCUGCUUCAGAUGGCAUUUUUUCAGCCGCCCCAAAAUGCAUUGCACAGACACUCGCUGAACAGAGCAGAUGUAGUGUGUGUGCAACAGGGAAACAAGACCUUGUACGGCAGUACGGGCGAAUCUCAGAAACUAAUGCCUUGCUCCGGAUGAGGUCGGAAGUGAGAACAUCCAUUUUGAAGUAUACCAUUUCCAACCUCAGUUGGCGUCACAGUCCGUAUCAUGUCACUUUCAUAUUAUGUCGCCAUUAACAAAGCAUUUUAUGUUUUCGUAUCAAUUAUGGCAAUAAAUAAAUAAAUAAAAACUAAAAAAAAUUACA
ensembl:lncRNA